rnacentral:rRNA from 1 species
CGGGUGAGUAACGCGUGGGGAAUCUGCCUUUGAGCGGGGGACAACAUUUGGAAACGAAUGCUAAUACCGCAUAAAAACUUUAAAUACAAGUUUUAAGUUUGAAAGAUGCAAUUGCAUCACUCAAAGAUGAUCCCGCGUUGUAUUAGCUAGUUGGUGAGGUAAAGGCUCACCAAGGCGAUGAUACAUAGCCGACCUGAGAGGGUGAUCGGCCACAUUGGGACUGAGACACGGCCUAAACUCCUACGGAAGGCAGCAG